GCCUUCUGGCUUACAAGAGAGCCCAGGGCCAGGCAUCAGGCCCUCUGUCCUCUUUAGGGAAGGAAGGAAGGUCCUUUGCCCUCCGUGACAGGAGAGGAUUAGGGCUGGUGAUGGGGCAGUUUCCAAAGCACAUGGUUUCAUUGAGGAAAAGGAGAGCAUGGGCCUGUGGUAGGGGAGCCAGGGAAGGGGUGAGGGGGUGUGGUGUCUGCUGUGGAUUUUCCAGACCGGGCCACUGACUGCCCUCAAGAGCUUCAAGAGUCCUUGAGCUGACCUCUGCUUGUGAGCCGACCAGGGCACAGGACGUGCUGCCUGGCAUAGCGCCUCCUCCAGGACCUUGAGACUCCAGACUCUAGCUAUGCUGGAUGCCUGGGAGGCCUGCACCCACCUCCUUGGGAGAUUGUCUGCCUCAGAAGUUGCCGUGAGGAUCAGAAAUUACUUGCGGCCUAUUGAAUCUCCAAUUUGUAAAGCCCUGACUGAGUUCGUCUGCCACACGCUUUCUCUCCCAUGGUUCUGUUCAUCCUUCACUUAGGUUUAGCUGGUUGGUUUUUGGCAUAUACUAUGUUUUUAAUCUUCAGAACGCAUGGAGACGUGCUGAACAUGGACAGAGUGAACAUGUCUGCCCAACAAAACCUGAAACCUGGGCAUGUCUCCACCAUGCGCAGGCAGUCCCCUCCCGGGGCACCCUCUGGAGAGGGAGGCAGGCUGCGCCCUGUGCCCGUCCACCCGGUGUCCACUCCACAGAGCCUCGCAUCUGAGGUGAUGGGGACCACUGGUCCCUGGUCCCGAAAGCCCUGCGCUUUCUGCAGGCUGGGCCAGACCUGUGCCCCGGGAAAAAGGGCAUCGCAGGCAGACCCCAUGCAGCAGGGGAAGGGCUGUCCAUGCCUGCAUUCUUGGGCCAGAUAAGGCCCGUUGCUCGAAACAGCUGGGUGCAGAAACUACAGCUUCCUGGUGACGCUCAGCUCCCCUCUGCAUGGCAACACAACAUGUUCCUAAUGACUGAGUUGUUUACUUAAUAAAGAAAUCACAACCACUUGGAGGUUUAAAUAUAGUCUCAGAAACGCAGUGAGCUCGGCUUCUGGUGACUGUGAGGUGCUGGCUCCUGCCACCUGCCACCUCCCUGCCCCACUUGAAGCCUUUAGCAAUGUCUUGGGGGGAGGAAACGGUCUCACUAACCCUGUUGUCUUCCUUGUGAGUCUCUUCUUGAUUUUGAAUAGGAGCGCCUGACUAUGUAAAAGGAGAAAGCGUUUGUUACAUGAUCAGAGUUAGACUCAUUCCAACCUGGGGCCCACACAAGUCUGGGCCCAUUUCCUGCAGCUACUGUGGAGGCGGAUUCCAGGAGGUGACGAGGGUUCUGGGGCAGCUCCCUGGCCAGGAUAGAGGCCACCCCUGCAGGCAAGGCCCUCCCCCCACCCUCUAGCUCCGCUGUGUCAGUAAGCACGCACUCCGCUGUCGGGCCCCAGAUCACCUAGCAGGUGAGAAAAAGGACAACUGGGGAAACUUUUUUCCUCCAUAAGAACUAAUCUGGUAUAUUUUUCUUCAAACACCUACAUAUCACAAUUCUGGUUAAUACACUCUUCAAAAAUCAAAAUCUAGUUCCAUUUUACAUCCCUUCUAACUGUACAAACUGGAGCACCUCUAUUCCUUCCACCUCCUCCCAGAGAGGGUGGGGAUGGAAGGACCAAGGGUGGUCCUUGCUGCUGAAGGUGGUGGCUGGGUCCCGGUGCUGAGUGGGGCAGGGCAGGGCAGGUUUGGGAGCUGGGUGGGGGCAGCCUGUGCUGACGGAAAUCCCCAGUGUCCAAUCUGGCACCUUCCCCAGGAGCUGGCUUAUGCCCACAAGGUGCUGAGUCUGAGGGGGAGGCUGGGUGAAUUUAAAACAAGAUGCACAACUGUUCGGCAGCUCCCUGGCUCCAGGGCUGAGGGGCCUCACACACACACCUCACUGGAUGGGGGUGAGACAGAUCCAGGUGGGAGGCGAUGUGGCUGCCACCCAGAAGCCAGGCUGGGGAGGAGAGAAACAGGACACUGCCCUUAUCCAUGUACUUUUCAAGGCCCUCGAGCCUGGUGCUAAUGGCGCUGGCAGGACAUGGUGGGCAUCAGAGGAGGGCGGCCCCUACACCUCCAGCCCUGGGCCUCAAUUCAGGAAAGACACAUCCUCCUCCCAGGCAAAUUCUGUCUUCACUCUGCCAGGUGCCUCUGGAGUCCCUUCAGAAGUCCUCCAUCCCCGGGUCAGCCACGGCCUGCCUUCCUGGAACCGCGGACUUCCAGGGUUGCCCGUGUGAGUUAUACCCUACUUCACCCACCGAUCUUGCUGCCAGGCUCCACUCAGUGAUCAGGGAGAGUCUCCAGGAGCACCCCUUGCAGCCUGCUCUGGGCGUCAAGAGGUAAGGGGGGUCACAGUGCCUGCAGGCAGCAAAGGGCAGUGUGGCCAGAGAGCCGCCUCAAGCCUGCACUUAGUCCUACCACGUGUUGCCCGAACACCUUGGGCACAUGUGCUUCACCUUCCUCACUGGUGACAAAGGGGCGAGCAUGCCUGGCCCGGGGUGGCUGUGAGGAUGAGAUCAUGGGGAUAAAGUGCCUGGCACAGGUGCCCAGUCAACGGCAGCUGUCGCGGCUGGGAGGUGGAGGGUGGCCAGACCACGAAGGCCAGGCUUCAUACCUGGUGUGACCCUUUGGCGCCGUCAAACUCCAGCAGGGAAAAUGAAACCAAUUUCCUGACUGAGCGGGGAGCCAGGCCUCUUAAUUCAUUGUGCUGGGUGUGAGGACAUGGGCCAGAGGCCCCUGGGCAGUGCAGAGAGCUCAGGAGAAUGGGCAUGGCCUAGGACAAACCAGACCAGAAGGUCUGGAGCUGCCUGCUUGGGGGACAGUUGCUCUAGAAAAGGGGGCAUCGCCACCAACGUGGAAAUGGGGCAAGGAGGUGUUGCCAGGCUCGACAGACCAGGCCAGCCCCAGAUUAGGGAAACUGGCAGAGACAGGAAGUGGCCAUGGUUUCCUUGGCCCCCAUGGCUCUGGCCCCUCGCUGAGCCAGCAAGCCCCUGGCCCACGCCUGCCCGCUGCCUUCGCAGCCUGCAUAGCAGGCCCGUCCCCGCCCUUCCCAGCUGUUGACACUGCUGCGGGGCCUUGUGGGAGCUGAUGUCAUUACACAAAUAGUGUCCCUGCCUGCCGUAAACCCAGCCCAUGCCCCAUCCUGUCUCCCCUGGAAAAUGUCAUAAAAGGGGCCAGUUCCAAGUUUCCAGAGAGGAAACUCUCUGGGAGGUUCUGCCUUCACCGUGCCUCCUCCACCGGCAGCUCCAGCAUGUGCCAGUGCCCACCCUGUUUGGCUUCUCAAGGGUGUCCUCGGGCCCACUGCCUACAGGUCAGAAUCUCAGCAACCUCCUGCUGGGCUGCGGUCAGUAGGGGCUUCCUCCUCUGGGCUCCACAGGCUGGAGCCCUGUAAACCCCCACUCGCCCGCAUGGAGAGGGACCAAUUCCGCAGGGCAAAAGGAGACCCCAGGCUGCUCUCCGCCUCCGACAGGCCUGCCCAAGCCCCUGCAUUUGGGGUCCAAGCUGUCACAGCCAGGGAUCCGUGGGAGUUCCCUAAGAGGAUGGGGGAAGGAGAGGAUCUGCAGUCUUUCUGUUAGGAGUGGUAGUUUGGCUCGGCUUGCUCAAGGCCG